rnacentral:rRNA from 1 species
UACAGAGGGGGCAAGCGUUGUUCGGAAUUACUGGGCGUAAAGGGCGCGUAGGCGGCCUUCUAAGUCAGACGUGAAAUCCCCCGGCUUAACCUGGGAACUGCGUCUGAUACUGGAGGGCUUGAGUGCGGGAGAGGGAUGUGGAAUUCCAGGUGUAGCGGUGAAAUGCGUAGAUAUCUGGAGGAACACCCGUGGCUAAGGCGGCUCUCUAGUACGGUACUGACGCUGAGACGCGAAAGCGUGGGGAGCGAACAGG